AUAUACGACCGUACCGCAAACCGACACUGGUGCGCGAGAUGAGUAUUCUAAGGCGCUUGAGAGAACUCAGGAGAAGGAACUCGGCAAAUUGACACCGUAACUUCGGAAGAAGGUGUGCCCUAUUAGUGUGUAGUGAACAACGAAGCAUGAAUGGGUUGCAAAAAAUCGGUGGCUGCGACUGUUUAUUAAAAACACAGCACUCUGCAAACACGAAAGUGGACGUAUAGGGUGUGACGCCUGCCCGGUGCUGGAAGAUUAAAUGAUGGGGUGCAAGCUCUUAUUGAAGUCCCAGUAAACGGCGGCCGUAACAAUAACGGUCCUAAGGUAGCGAAAUUCCUUGUCGGGUAAGUUCCGACCUGCACGAAUGGCGUAACGAUGGCCACACUGUCUCCUCCUGAGACUCAGCGAAGUUGAAAUGUUUGUGAUGAUGCAAUCUCCCCGCGGAAAGACGGAAAGACCCCAUGAACCUUUACUGUAGCUUUGUAUUGGACUUUGAACAGAUCUGUGUAGGAUAGGUGGGAGGCUUUGAAGCAGGGUCGCUAGAUCUUGUGGAGCCAACGUUGAAAUACCACCCUGGUGUGUUUGAGGUUCUAACCUAGGUCCAUUAUCUGGAUCGGGGACAGUGCAUGGUAGGCAGUUUGACUGGGGCGGUCUCCUCCCAAAGCGUAACGGAGGAGUUCGAAGGUACGCUAGUUACGGUCGGACAUCGUGACGAUAGUGCAAUGGCAUAAGCGUGCUUAACUGCGAGACUGACAAGUCGAGCAGAUGCGAAAGCAGGACAUAGUGAUCCGGUGGUUCUGUAUGGAAGGGCCAUCGCUCAACGGAUAAAAGGUACUCUGGGGAUAACAGGCUGAUACCGCCCAAGAGUUCAUAUCGACGGCGGUGUUUGGCACCUCGAUGUCGGCUCAUCCCAUCCUGGGGCUGUAGCCGGUCCCAAGGGUAUGGCUGUUCGCCAUUUAAAGAGGUACGUGAGCUGGGUUUAAAACGUCGUGUGACAGUUUGGUCCCUAUCUUCCGUGGGCGCUGCAGAUUUGAGGAAGCCUGCUCCUAGUACGAGAGGACCGGAGUGGACUCACCUCCGGUGUAUCGGUUGUCACGCCAGUGGCAUUGCCGAGUAGCUAAGUGUGGAAGAGAUAACCGCUGAAAGCAUCUAAGCGGGAAACUCGUUUCAAGAUGAGAUCUGCCGGGGCCUUGAGCCCCCUAAAGAGUCGUUCAAGACCAGGACGUUGAUAGGUCAGGUGUGGAAGC
rnacentral:rRNA from 1 species